GGUGAUGUUGCUCAAACGGUAGAGCACUUGCUUUGCAUGCAAGAGGUAUGGGGAUCGAUACACCGCAUUUCCA
rfam:Nelumbo nucifera unplaced genomic scaffold scaffold00757, whole genome shotgun sequence